ensembl:lncRNA
GUCACCACGGCAUGUGUGUGUCCAUCACUGUGGGUGUCCAUCACUGAAGGGUGUGCAUGUCCAUCCCUGGCUGCAGUGCUGGGUUCCAGCAGUGCUGGACAGCUGCCAGCAGUCAGACUCCUGGCCGGUGAGCGUGGGCCUGCUUCCCGCUGUCCGUGUCGAGUUUCAUUUCUCCGCGUUUCGCGGUUCUCCUGUGUUUCACCUGCGUGGUUAGGUCAGUGCCCGAGAUUUUGUUGUCUCGGUGUUGCUGUGGAUGGGUCGCCUUGUGAUCUGCUCUCUGGAUGGUUCUGUGGUUAAUGUGUGGAAAUUCGGUGCUGUCUGUGGACUUUGCACCCUGCUUUCGUGGGAUCUUCAGGCUUUCUUCACUCAAGGGGGUGGUGUCCGGUGUGCAUGCUCUUCACCUCCAGCCAGCCCCGUCCUGCUGGCCUGUUUGCUGAGCGGACCAUUCUCUGCCGGCCAGCUCCCUGGUGCCUGGAUCCAAUGGUGCUGGGCUGACCAGAGGGGCCACCCGCCGUGUUCCCCAUUCCCGGGAAGGUGUCCGUCCCCCAGGGAGGCCGCAUGCCCUCCAGCUGGGCCGGGCCGGCAGUGUGGGAGGCGAUGAUGUCAUCUGCUCCUGGGGCAUGCAGCCCAGGCCAGGAUCCAGUGACCCAGGGCCAGGGCCUUCUCCAGGCGAGUGUCCCCCCACGGGAGCCGUGAGGAAUGUGGUAGGAGGAAGGGGAGUUUGGGAGGAGCCGCCUGUGGCUCUGCAGGGACCUGGCCGGGUCAGGCUGGGAGCUGGCAGCUGUGGCCUCCUGCUGUCUUCCUGGGGAGGGUAGGGGCGGCGUCCCGCUCUGUCACCAGCACUCAGGCCCGUGAGCCCUGCCUCUGACCCUGGAGUGUCCCCAAGGGGACCCUGGGCCCCCAGGCUUCUGAUGAGCAGGGACCGCCAUGGCAGCUGUCACUGGGUUGGCAGUGGCACUGUCAGCAGGAAGUGACCGCCCAGGGCCAGCCCAGCCAUGCUCUCUGGCCGUGGCCUUCAGGCAGCAGGUGCAAGGCCAGGCUGUGUCCACGGAGGCCUCUGUCCACUCUGCACCUGGCCGGCUCUGCUUCCAGUUGGCGCUAGUGUCCUGGCAGUCGGGGUUGGGCUGAGGCCCACAGGGAGCUCCGACCAGCAGGCCCUACCACCCACGUGGCCGGGACCCUGGCCACCAGAGUGCAGGGCUGCCCGGGCCCAGAGGGCGCCUCCCGCAGGGUCCCGUCUUGCUUCUGCGUUCGUUUUCUUCUCAAGGAGCUUGAAAGACAACCUGUCUCCCAAAGUCGGGGUUCAGCUUCUGUGCCCCAGGGAACCCCACAUCAGCUUGGCCUGUGGCAGGGGCCCAGCCUGUGCGGCCGCAGUGCACACGUACACACUCAAUUCUCAUGAACACUCGCACACUCACUCCUGUGCACUCACACAUGUGCCCGCUCAUGCACUCACACUCAUGUUCUCAUGAACACACAUGUAUGCACGCUCAUGAUCUCUCGAGAACUCACAAGCACUUGCACACACACACUCACUUGUACACGCACACCCCUGUGUGCUCACACACCUGCCCCAACCAUCUCUCCACAGCCUCCAUGAGACGCCUCACACUCUUGCUGUGAGUGCCCCGGUGUGGGCUUCCCCCACGCAACCUGGGGGGCUCUGGGGUCCCCUGCAGGGAAGCCAUGAGGACCAUGGGAGUGACGGGAGGGCGGCUCUGAGGAGAGCGGCCCUGUUCUCGUCUGUGCCAGGAGCUUGCUGUGUGCGGGACCAGCUCUUGGUGCACAGGAGCCUGGGGGUGGGGGCAUUUGGAAGAGCCUGGGUGGGGGCAUCUGGAGCCUGGGAGGGGUCUGACGCCUGGGGAGUAUCUGGAGCCUGGGAGGGGGGAGUCUGGAGCUGGGGGGCAUCUGGAGCCUGGGGGGCGUCUAGGCGCCUCUUCUCCUUUCUUGCCACUGAGGGAUGGCUUCCUUCAGGUAAUGCCUGGCGCUGCUGUUCCUGGGGUCAGAGCGAGGGGGACAGGCAGGGGCUGGUGGGGGCUCUGCACUCCCGUGGGGAUGCUCCCCUCCCCCAGCCAGCUGCGAUGUCGCUGGGGGUCCCCCUGUGGCCUGUGAGCCCCUGGAGGAAGAGGGGCACUGCCUAAUUCCUUGCAGCUGGUUUUCUCUCUGUUUGAAGACAUGUUUGUUUGAAAGGCAGAGUUAGAGAGGGAGUGACAGAGUCUUCCACUUGCUGGAAGGAGCCUGGAGCUCCAUGUGGGUCUCCCACGGGGGUGCAGGGGCCCAGGUCCUCGGGCCGCCCUCCGCGCCCUCCGAGCACAGGAGCAGGGAGCUGGCGGCACAUGGGGGACUCCGGCACUCACGGGGGACGCCGGCACCGCAGGCGGUGGCCUAACCCGCUGCUCCAGGAGCUGGCCCUCGCAGGUGGUUUCUGUAGCGUGGUUGGGGCCUUGACUAGCGGGGGUGGCUGCCGGUGGU